rnacentral:rRNA from 1 species
CCCUUAGAUGUUCUGGGCCGCACGCGCGCUACACUGAUGCAUUCAACGAGUUUCUUCCUGGUCCGAGAGGAAUGGGUAACCUUUUGAAAGUGCAUCGUGAUAGGGAUAGACUAUUGCAAUUAUUGGUCUUCAACGAGGAAUUCCUAGUAGACGUAGUUCAUCAGACUGCAUCGAUUACGUCCCUGCCCUUUGUACACACCGCCCGUCGCUCCUACCGAUUGAAUGCUCAGGUGAGCCAUUCUGACUUUCAUCAUGCUGGUUUCCAGUUUUGAUGAAGGAAAGUCUUGCGAACCUUAUCAUUUAGAGGAAGGAGAAGUCGUAACA